UUUUAGAAGUUUGAUCCUGGCUCAGGACGAACGCUGGCGGCGUGCCUAAUACAUGCAAGUUGAGCGCUGAAGGUUGGUACUUGUACCGACUGGAUGAGCAGCGAACGGGUGAGUAACGCGUGGGGAAUCUGCCUUUGAGCGGGGGACAACAUUUGGAAACGAAUGCUAAUACCGCAUAAAAACUUUAAACACAAGUUUUAAGUUUGAAAGAUGCAAUUGCAUCACUCAAAGAUGAUCCCGCGUUGUAUUAGCUAGUUGGUGAGGUAAAGGCUCACCAAGGCGAUGAUACAUAGCCGACCUGAGAGGGUGAUCGGCCACAUUGGGACUGAGACACGGCCCAAACUCCUACGGGAGGCAGCAGUAGGGAAUCUUCGGCAAUGGACGAAAGUCUGACCGAGCAACGCCGCGUGAGUGAAGAAGGUUUUCGGAUCGUAAAACUCUGUUGGUAGAGAAGAACGUUGGUGAGAGUGGAAAGCUCAUCAAGUGACGGUAACUACCCAGAAAGGGACGGCUAACUACGUGCCAGCAGCCGCGGUAAUACGUAGGUCCCGAGCGUUGUCCGGAUUUAUUGGGCGUAAAGCGAGCGCAGGUGGUUUAUUAAGUCUGGUGUAAAAGGCAGUGGCUCAACCAUUGUAUGCAUUGGAAACUGGUAGACUUGAGUGCAGAGAGAGAUAUUAGUUC
rnacentral:rRNA from 1 species